UACGGGGGGGGCAAGCGUUGUUCGGAAUUACUGGGCGUAAAGGGCUUGUAGGUGGCCAACUAAGUCAGACGUGAAAUCCCUCGGCUUAACCGGGGAACUGCGUCUGAUACUGGAUGGCUUGAGUGUGGGAGAGGGAUGCGGAAUUCCAGGUGUAGCGGUGAAAUUGCGUAGAUAUCUGGAGGAACACCGGUGGCGAAGGCGGCAUCCUGACCAUAACUGACACUGAUAAGCGAAAGCCAGGGGAGCAAACGGG
rnacentral:rRNA from 1 species